GCGAAAGUGGCGGAAUGGCAGACGCACCGGACUUAGGAUCCGGCUCCGGAAAAGGAAUGGGAGUUCAAAUCUCCCCUUUCGCA
rnacentral:tRNA from 1 species